GAAGGAACCAUGGGAGAUUCUUGAGGGCAGUAACACCAACACAGGUUACUUCAUUACACCAUUGAAGAAAGAGAAGUCUCAUCAUACAAGAUUUAAGAGAAUUGUUGGGGAGGGUGGUACAUGGAAGAUACAAGACCCAGCCAAGAAAGUGUUGGAUGAAAAAGGUAGACUUAUGGGGUACGUACACCGUAUGAAGUACACUCCAGCCACUAACAAAAAGGCAAUAAUCAAGGAGUUAUUCGGGGAGUGGUUGAUGAUGGAAUACUCUUUGU
rnacentral:misc_RNA from 1 species